UACGUAGGGGGCGAGCGUUGUCCGGAGUUACUGGGCGUAAAGGGCGUGCAGGCGGUGCAGUAAGUUUGGAGUGACAGUUCCGGCUUAACCGGGGAAGGCCUCUGAAAACUGCUGGACUCGAGGGCCAGAGAGGGACAUAGAAUUCCGGGUGGAGUGGUGAAAUGCGUAGAUAUCCGGAGGAAUACCAAAGGCGAAGGCAGUGUCCUGGCUGGCAUCUGACGCUGAGGCGCGAAAGCUAGGGGAGCGAACAGG
rnacentral:rRNA from 1 species